rnacentral:rRNA from 15 species
UUGCCAGCGGGUCAUGCCGGGAACUUUAAGGAUACUGCCAGUGACAAACUGGAGGAAGGCGGGGACGACGUCAAGUCAUCAUGGCCCUUACGGCCAGGGCUACACACGUGCUACAAUGGUCGGUACAAAGGGUUGCUACCUAGCGAUAGGAUGCUAAUCUCAAAAAGCCGAUCGUAGUCCGGAUUGGAGUCUGCAACUCGACUCCAUGAAGUCGGAAUCGCUAGUAAUCGUGGAUCAGAAUGCCACGGUGAAUACGUUCCCGGGCCUUGUACACACCGCCCGUCACACCAUGGGAGUUGGUUUUACCCGAAG